rnacentral:rRNA from 1 species
AGAGUUUGAUCCUGGCUCAGAUUGAACGCUGGCGGCAUGCUUUACACAUGCAAGUCGAACGGCAGCGGGUCCUUCGGGAUGCCGGCGAGUGGCGAACGGGUGAGUAAUGCAUCGGAACGUACCCAGACGUGGGGGAUAACUACGCGAAAGCGUAGCUAAUACCGCAUACGCCCUGAGGGGGAAAGCGGGGGAUCUUCGGACCUCGCGCGAUUGGAGCGGCCGAUGUCGGAUUAGCUAGUUGGUGGGGUAAAGGCCUACCAAGGCGACGAUCCGUAGCUGGUCUGAGAGGAUGAUCAGCCACACUGGGACUGAGACACGGCCCAGACUCCUACGGGAGGCAGCAGUGGGGAAUUUUGGACAAUGGGCGCAAGCCUGAUCCAGCCAUGCCGCGUGCGGGAAGAAGGCCUUCGGGUUGUAAACCGCUUUCGGACGGGAAGAAAUCGCACGGGCCAAUACCCUG